rnacentral:rRNA from 1 species
CCUACGGGUGGCAGCAGUGAGGAAUAUUGGUCAAUGGACGAGAGUCUGAACCAGCCAAGUAGCGUGAAGGAUGACUGCCCUAUGGGUUGUAAACUUCUUUUAUAAAGGAAUAAAACGAGGCACGUGUGCCUUUUUGCAUGUACUUUAUGAAUAAGGAUCGGCUAACUCCGUGCCAGCAGCCGCGGUAAUACGGAGGAUCCGAGCGUUAUCCGGAUUUAUUGGGUUUAAAGGGAGCGUAGAUGGGUUGUUAAGUCAGGUGUGAAAGUUUGCGGCUCAACCGUAAAAUUGCAAUUGAUACUGGGAGUUGUGAGUACAGUAGGGAUAGGGGGAAUUCGUGGUGUAGCGGUGAUGUGCAUAGAUAUCACGGAGAACCCAGAGUGCGAAGGCAGCUUACUAAACUGUGUCUGACAUAGAUGCUCGAAAGUGUGGGUAUCAAACAGGAUUAGAUACCCGAGUAG